GGUCGGUUAGCUCAGUCGGUAGAGCGUCGUGCUGAUAACGCGAAGUGGGUUCGAGCCCCACAUUGACCA
rnacentral:tRNA from 1 species